AUGAUACCCUGGGAUGGAUGUAAAGCCAAGCAAAUUGCUUCCGCGCCGAGAACCGAAGAUUGUGUGGAUUGUAAGAGGUGUGAAUAUUCCUGCCCGACAGAGUUUUUAAGUGUCCGCAUUUAUUUAGGGCCUGAAACAAUAGGUAGUGUCGGGGAUAUACCCCGCGGUGUAAACCGGCCCGAAGUAUAA
rnacentral:rRNA from 1 species